GACAGAGGUGCCGAGCGUUAGGCGGAAUCACUGGGCUUAAAGCGUGUGUAGGCGGGCCGUUAAGUGUCUUGUGAAAUCCCCCGGCUCAACCGGGGAAUUGCUGGGCAUACUGGCGGUCUUGAGCAAUCUAGGGGCAGAUGGAACAAAUGGUGGAGCGGUGAAAUGCGUAGAUAUCAUUUGGAACGCCAAUGGUGAAAACAGCUCGCUGGGAAUGAUCUGACACUGAGACGCGAAAGCCAGGGGAGCGAACGGG
rnacentral:rRNA from 1 species